rnacentral:rRNA from 1 species
AUUGAACGCUGGCGGCAUGCCUUACACAUGCAAGUCGAACGGCAGCACAGGGCAACCUGGUGGCGAGUGGCGAACGGGUGAGUAAUGCAUCGGAACGUACCUUUCAGUGGGGGAUAACGUAGCGAAAGUUACGCUAAUACCGCAUAUUCUGUGAGCAGGAAAGCAGGGGAUCGCAAGACCUUGCGCUGAUUGAGCGGCCGAUGUCAGAUUAGCUAGUUGGUGAGGUAAAGGCUCACCAAGGCGACGAUCUGUAGCGGGUCUGAGAGGAUGAUCCGCCACACUGGAACUGAGACACGGUCCAGACUCGUACGGGAGGCAGCAGUGGGGAAUUUUGGACAAUGGGGGCAACCCUGAUCCAGCCAUGCCGCGUGAGUGAAGAAGGCCUUCGGGUUGUAAAGCUCUUUCGGCCGGGAAGAAAUCGCACGGGCUAAUACCCUGUGUGGAUAACGGUACCGGAAUAAGAAGCACCGGCUAACUACGUGCCAGCAGCCGCUGUAAAAC